GACGAACGCUGGCGGCGUGCUUAACACAUGCAAGUCGAACGGAAAGGCCCUGCUUUUGUGGGGUGCUCGAGUGGCGAACGGGUGAGUAACACGUGAGUAACCUGCCCUUGACUUUGGGAUAACUUCAGGAAACUGGGGCUAAUACCGGAUAGGAGCUCCUGCUGCACGGUGGGGGUUGGAAAGUUUCGGCGGUUGGGGAUGGACUCGCGGCUUAUCAGCUUGUCGGUGGGGUAGUGGCUUACCAAGGCUUUGACGGGUAGCCGGCCUGAGAGGGUGACCGGCCACAUUGGGACUGGGAUACGGCCCAGACUCCGACGGGGGGGAGGAGCGGGGAAUAUUGCACAAGGGGCGGAGGCCUGAUGCACCAACGCCGCGUGCGGGAUGACGGCCUUCGGGUGGUAAACCGAUUUCGCCUGGGACGAAGCGUGAGUGACGGUAAUGGGUAAAGAAGCACCGGCGAACUACGG
rnacentral:rRNA from 1 species